UGAUAAAAAUAACUAAGUUUAUUAAAUAUAUAAAGGUUAGUUUUCCUCCUUAAAUGAGGUUGCAAAUUGUACAUCAUCAUAACUUUUGAUUGCUAAUAUGAAAUCAUUUCCCUCAUAUUCAGAUAUAGGAGAGCAAAAUUUUUUAGGUAGACAUAAAAAGUUUGAAGUAUGCACAAAGCCUGAAAGUAUCAAAUAUGGAACCUAAAAAAACCUGCCUUUGCCACUGACUAUAUAAAGGUUUUUUAAGGUCUGUUUGUCAAGCGUCAAGUCAGGUUAUCUUGCUCUGGUACCAUGUAGUACAUCCUGCUUAAGCAGGUUGUACGCCAUCCAUACGACGUUUGGGCAUCUGUUUGUAAAAUAUUGCUGCAAAUCUUUUUGAGAGAGCCAUUACUAUGGAGAACCAUCUAAACCAUACAAGUGUCGAAACAUGGAUAUUAAUGUGAAAUAAACUGAUGAGUUUAUUUAACUUAGCUGGUAAAAAAAAGAGUUUUUGUGAAACAAAUUUAAUGACGACAAUUAUAGAAUGAAGUUCAUUCGCUGGCAACAUUUUUAAACGUGGUCCAGAUCGAAAAAAUUUUGGUGCUAGAAAUUGUCGAUAGUAGAAGUGAUAGAUGCAUCGAACCUAAUUUGUAAUUAAUUUCUGUAAAUAAAUUUCACUUUACUAA
rnacentral:lncRNA from 1 species